rnacentral:misc_RNA from 1 species
AAAAAAGUGAAUGAUUAUCCUUUCUCAAGCUAAUUUCAAUUGAGUCCCGAUUAUUUCUAUUACAUUAUGCCAUUGGAGUAAUAGGAAAAAUGUAUUUAAUGAAUUGCUAUUCUUAGGUGAUGUACAUUGGAACUUUUUAAAUUCUAGGUUGGGAUGUUUUCUGAAAGGCCAAAUGGUUAAAAAAAUCCAAAAUUUUGUCGCUUUUUACAAU